rnacentral:rRNA from 1 species
CAAUAGCGUAUAUUAAAGUUGUUGCAGUUAAAAAGCUCGUAGUUGGAUUUGUGGUGUACUUCGGCGGCCCGUCACUAUGUGAUGGAGCUUGCUGAAGUCGCCAUCCUUGGGUGGAUUCUGUGUGGCAUUAAGUUGUCGUGCAGGGGAUGCCCAUCGUUUACUGUGAGAAAAUUAGGGUGUUCAAAGCAGGCUUAUGCCGUUGAAUAUGUUAGCAUGGAAUAAUAAGAUAGGACCUUGGUACUAUUUUGUUGGUUUGCGCACCAAGGUAAUGAUUAAUAGGGACAGUUGGGGGUAUUCGUAUUUCAUUGUCAGAGGUGAAAUUCUUGGAUUUUUGAAAGACGAACUACUGCGAAAGCAUUUACCAAGGAUGUUUNCAUUAA